rnacentral:rRNA from 1 species
UACGUAGGGUGCAAGCGUUGUCCGGAAUUAUUGGGCGUAAAGAGCUCGUAGGCGGUUUGUCGCGUCUGCUGUGAAAACUCGGGGCUUAACUCCGGGCCUGCAGUGGAUACGGGCAGACUAGAGUCAGGUAGGGGAGAACGGAAUUCCUGGUGUAGCGGUGAAAUGCGCAGAUAUCAGGAGGAACACCGGUGGCGAAGGCGGUUCUCUGGGCCUGUACUGACGCUGAGGAACGGAAGCGUGGGGAGCGAACAGG